UGUCAGCGUGUUUUUGAAAGAAAAC
rnacentral:piRNA from 1 species